rnacentral:rRNA from 1 species
AGAGUUUGAUCCUGGCUCAGGACGAACGCUGGCGGCACGCCUAACACAUGCAAGUCGAACGGAGAAAAUAGCUUCGGUUGUUUUCUUAGUGGCGGACGGGUGAGUAACACGUGAGGAACCUGCCUUUGAGAGUGGGAUAGCUUCUGGAAACGGAUGGUAAUACCGCAUAACAUAGCGAAACCGCAUGAUUUUGCUAUCAAAGUAUUUCGCUCAGAGAUGGCCUCGCGUCUGAUUAGAUAGUUGGUGAGGUAACGGCUCACCAAGUCGACGAUCAGUAGCCGGACUGAGAGGUUGAACGGCCACAUUGGGACUGAGACACGGCCCAGACUCCUACGGGAGGCAGCAGUGGGGGAUAUUGCACAAUGGGGGAAACCCUGAUGCAGCGAUGCCGCGUGGAGGAAGAAGGUUUUCGGAUUGUAAACUCCUGUCGUAAGGGAAGAGGAAGGACUGUACCUUACAAGAAAGCUCCGGCUAACUACGUGCCAGCAGCCGCGGUAAUACGUAGGGAGCGAGCGUUGUCCGGAAUGACUGGGUGUAAAGGGAGCGUAGGCGGGAUGGCAAGUCAGAUGUGAAACCUGAGGGCUCAACCUUCAGACUGCAUUUGAAACUGCUGUUCUUGAGUGAAGUAGAGGUAAGCGGAAUUCCUGGUGUAGCGGUGAAAUGCGUAGAGAUCAGGAGGAACAUCGGUGGCGAAGGCGGCUUACUGGGCUUUUACUGACGCUGAGGCUCGAAAGCGUGGGGAGCAAACAGGAUUAGAUACCCUGGUAGUCCACGCUGUAAACGAUGAUUACUAGGUGUGGGGGGAUUGACCCCUUCCGUGCCGCAGUUAACACAAUAAGUAAUCCACCUGGGGAGUACGACCGCAAGGUUGAAACUCAAAGGAAUUGACGGGGGCCCGCACAAGCAGUGGAGUAUGUGGUUUAAUUCGAAGCAACGCGAAGAACCUUACCAGGUCUUGACAUCGAGUGACGUAUCCAGAGAUGGAUAUUUCCUUCGGGACACAAAGACAGGUGGUGCAUGGUUGUCGUCAGCUCGUGUCGUGAGAUGUUGGGUUAAGU